rnacentral:rRNA from 1 species
GAUUUCUGGUUCGGCGUACUUGGCCCGUCUCGGUUUACGAGAUUGUGUGCCGGUGUGCGCCAUCCAUCCUUCGAUGAAUUUCUAGGCUACCCUUCACUGGGCGGCUUAGACAGUUCUCGAUCUUUUACUUUGAAAAAAUUAGAGUGUUUAAAGCAGGCUUGCGCUAUGAAUACAUUAGCAUGGAAUAAUAAUUUAGGACUUUGGUCUUAUUUUGUUGGUUUCUAGGACUAAAGUAAUGAUUGAUAGGGACAGUUGGGGGUGCUAGUAUUCAGCGGCCAGAGGUGAAAUUCUUGGAUUCGCUGAAGACUAACUUAUGCGAAAGCAUU